UUGAGCAUCUAGGCGGUAGAUGUCUCUGCUCCCCAUCAUUCUUGUCCUCCAGGGUCACAGCUUGCUUUAAUAAUAUAUAAUUCCUUAGAUAUGAUAGAAACUAAAAAUCAUGCACACUAGCAUAUUUAACAGUUAAUGCUUCUUGAAACAGUCAUAAUGGUAAACUUAAAUAUAUCCAUAUGUGUGUGUGUGUGUGUGUGUGUGUGUGUGACUUCAUUUUUUUUAAAGCAAGAAGCAAGAGGUGGAGUGGUUUAUAACUGUAAUCCCUGCUACUAGGAGGCUGAAGUGGAAAGAUUGAGCACUUGAGACCAGACUAGACAACAUGGUGAAUCACAGGUACCGGCGGCUGAGGGAACAGCCUCUAAACUUGGAGUACUCUAGCUCUGAAGUUGCUAAUUCAGUUUAACCAUGAAACACUGUUCCAUUAACUGUGAUAAGUAGCAAACAUUUGGCCUUCAGCUUCACCAAGCCUUGACCCAUGGUCCCUUGUGAGUCCUGAGGCACACCCUGAACUGUCCUCACUAUGUGUUGGAAGUUGCUGUUCAAAAAGAGAUCCUUGGAACAGCAUCAGUGAGACUGCUCAGAAACACAGAACAUGGCUAACACAGCCAGCAACUUGGUUCUUGGACUGGAAUAAAGAUGUGAUCAUCUAGCUUCCUGCUCUUCCUGCCUUCUGCCUCACCAUGAUGAAUUUCCCCUCUGGAACCGUAAACAAAAAUAAAGUCUUUCUUCCCAAAGUUGCUUUUGCUCAUGGUAUUUCAUCACAGCAACCAAACAGCAACGUGUGCACGUUAUUCCCGUGGUACUUGUUUCAUAGGCAUGAAAGAUGCAAGAAUGGCAGGGAUGUGGAGGCUCCCAUCAAGGCGGGAGGAGGCCAGGUCAUGUGUAUCAUGUUUGAGUUCUCUGCAAGGAGGCCCUGAGGACAUGAGCAACAUGAAGAUGUCACCGACACCAAGGCUUCAGAGUCAUGAGGACGGCAAGACCUUGUCUGAUAUGAGUAUAGAUGUUGGCAAUGUGUACAGAGAACAUCAAUCACAGCUUUCUCCUCCAGGAUGGCUGCAGCCUGAGACUGUUCCCUACCGAGAGCCACCCGCUUCCUCAUUCAGCUGAGGCCAUGUCAGCCCUGCUAUGAUGGACAAUAGAGAACCAAAUAAACCCUACCUUGAGUUGCU